rnacentral:rRNA from 1 species
UACGUAGGGGGCUAGCGUUAUCCGGAAUUACUGGGCGUAAAGGGUGCGUAGGUGGUUUCUUAAGUCAGAGGUGAAAGGCUACGGCUCAACCGUAGUAAGCCUUUGAAACUGGGAAACUUGAGUGCAGGAGAGGAGAGUGGAAUUCCUAGUGUAGCGGUGAAAUGCGUAGAUAUUAGGAGGAACACCAGUUGCGAAGGCGGCUCUCUGGACUGUAACUGACACUGAGGCGCGAAAGCGUGGGGAGCAAACAGGAUUAGAUACCCGCGUAGUCCCUGAG